UACGAAGGGGGCUAGCGUUGCUCGGAAUUACUGGGCUUAAAGCGUGUGUAGGCGGGUCGUUAAGUACCUUGUGAAAUCCCAUGGCUCAACCAUGGAACUGCUGGGUAUACUGGCGAUCUUGUGCAACCUAGGGGCGAGCGGAACAGAUGGUGGAGCGGUGAAAUGCGUAGAUAUCAUCUGGAACGCCAAUGGUGAAAACAGCUCGCUGGGGGUUUGCAGACGCUGAGACACGAAAGCCAGGGGAGCGAACGGG
rnacentral:rRNA from 1 species